rnacentral:pre_miRNA from 1 species
CAAAGAAGCAUACAAGAGUGAUAUUGAUUCGGCUCAUUUCCACAAUGUCUAAGCACAAUACAACACAAGGGACUGAACCGCUAUCAGUAUCACACCAUGUCUACUUCUCA